AUUGAACGCUGGCGGAAUGCUUUACACAUGCAAGUCGAACGAUGAACCUUAGCUUGCUAGGGGGAUUAGUGGCGAACGGGUGAGUAACAUAUCGGAACGUACCUAGUAAUGGGGGAUAACUAGUCGAAAGAUUAGCUAAUACCGCAUACGCCCUGAGGGGGAAAGUAGGGGAUCUUCGGACCUUACGUUAUUAGAGCGGCCGAUAUCUGAUUAGCUAGUUGGUGGGGUAAAGGCCUACCAAGGCGACGAUCAGUAGCUGGUCUGAGAGGACGAGCAGCCACACUGGAACUGAGACACGGUCCAGACUACUACGGGAGGCAGCAGUGGGGAAUUUUGGACAAUGGGGGCAACCCUGAUCCAGCCAUUCCGCGUGAGUGAAGAAGGCCUUCGGGUUGUAAAGCUCUUUCGCAAGGGAAGAAAACUUACAUUCUAAUAAAGUGUGAGGCUGACGGUACCUUGAUAAGAAGCACCGGCUAACUACGUGCCAGCCGCCGCGGUAA
rnacentral:rRNA from 1 species